UACGUAGGAUGCGAGCGUUAUCCGGAUUUAUUGGGUUUAAAGGGUGCGUAGGCGGGAUGCCAAGUCAGCGGUAAAAAUGCGGUGCUCAACGCCGUCGAGCCGUUGAAACUGGCGUUCUUGAGUGGGCGAGAAGUAUGCGGAAUGCGUGGUGUAGCGGUGAAAUGCAUAGAUAUCACGCAGAACUCCGAUUGCGAAGGCAGCAUACCGGCGCCCUACUGACGCUGAGGCACGAAAGCGUGGGGAGCAAACAGG
rnacentral:rRNA from 1 species